ACGGCCAGUUCAUGUUGAAAUACCGAUUCUCGUACGAUCACCGAAGUUAAGCAACAUCGACCCUGGUUAGUACUUGGAUAGGUGACCGUUUUGGAAUACU